rnacentral:rRNA from 1 species
AAAAAAGGUAAGCUACUAAGAGCGAAUGGUGGAUGCCUUGACUGGUAAAGGCGAUGAAGGACGUACUAGACUGCGAUAAGCUACGGGGAGCUGUCAAGAAGCUUUGAUCCGUAGAUUUCCGAAUGGGGCAACCCAAUGUAUAGAGAUAUACAUUACCUAUAUAGGAGCGAACGAGGGGAAUUGAAACAUCUUAGUACCCUCAGGAAAAGAAAUCAAUAGAGAUUGCGUCAGUAGCGGCGAGCGAAAGCGCAAGAGGGCAAACCCAGUGCUUGCACUGGGGGUUGUAGGACUGCAAUGUGCAAGAGGUGAGUUUAGCAGAACAUUCUGGAAAGUAUAGCCAUAGAGGGUGAUAGUCCCGUAUGCGAAAAACAAACCUUAGCUAGCAGUAUCCUGAGUAGGGCGGGACACGAGAAAUCCUGUCUGAAGCUGGGUCGACCACGAUCCAACCCUAAAUACUAAUACCAGAUCGAUAGUGCACAAGUACCGUGAGGGAAAGGUGAAAAGAACUGAGGUGAUCAGAGUGAAAUAGAACCUGAAACCAUUUGCUUACAAUCAUUCAGAGCCCUAUGUAGCAAUACAGGGUGAUGGACUGCCUUUUGCAUAAUGAGCCUGCGAGUUGUGGUGUCUGGCAAGGUUAAGCAAACGCGAAGCCGUAGCGAAAGCGAGUCUGAAUAGGGCGCUUAGUCAGAUGCUGCAGACCCGAAACGAAGUGAUCUAUCCAUGAGCAAGUUGAAGCUAGUGUAAGAACUAGUGGAGGACUGAACCCAUAGGCGUUGAAAAGCCCCGGGAUGACUUGUGGAUAGGGGUGAAAGGCCAAUCAAACUUCGUGAUAGCUGGUUCUCUCCGAAAUAUAUUUAGGUAUAGCGUUGUGUCGUAAUAUAAGGGGGUAGAGCACUGAAUGGGCUAGGGCAUACACCAAUGUACCAAACCCUAUCAAACUCCGAAUACCUUAUAUGUAAUCACAGCAGUCAGGCGGCGAGUGAUAAAAUCCGUCGUCAAGAGGGAAACAACCCAGACUACCAGCUAAGGUCCCUAAAUCUUACUUAAGUGGAAAACGAUGUGAAGUUACUUAAACAACCAGGAGGUUGGCUUAGAAGCAGCCAUCCUUUAAAGAAAGCGUAAUAGCUCACUGGUCUAGUGAUUUUGCGCGGAAAAUAUAACGGGGCUAAAGUAAGUACCGAAGCUGUAGACUUGCACACAACUUAGAUUAUUUAAGUUUAGAAUAUGAGAAACUAAGUUAUAUGUUUAGUUAUAUUUUUACUGAUUUUUAUAGAGUAAAGAUAGAAAUAAAACUUAGUAAAAUCAGUAAAAAUAUUCUUAGACUAAAGUUAAGUAGUUUAAGUUGUGUGCAAGUGGUAGGAGAGCGUUCUAUUUGCGUCGAAGGUAUACCGGUAAGGAGUGCUGGAGCGAAUAGAAGUGAGCAUGCAGGCAUGAGUAGCGAUAAUUAAUGUGAGAAUCAUUAACGCCGUAAACCCAAGGUUUCCUACGCGAUGCUCGUCAUCGUAGGGUUAGUCGGGUCCUAAGUCGAGUCCGAAAGGGGUAGACGAUGGCAAAUUGGUUAAUAUUCCAAUACCAACAUUAGUGUGCGAUGGAAGGACGCUUAGGGCUAA